rnacentral:rRNA from 1 species
CGGGGAAUGCCCUUGUACGGCGAGUGAGCGGCAAAAGCUCAAAUUUGAAAUCUGGUACCUUCGGUGCCCGAGUUGUAAUUUGGAGAGGGCAACUUUGGGGCCGUUCCUUGUCUAUGUUCCUUGGAACAGGACGUCAUAGAGGGUGAGAAUCCCGUGUGGCGAGGAGUGCGGUUCUUUGUAAAGUGCCUUCGAAGAGUCGAGUUGUUUGGGAAUGCAGCUCUAAGUGGGUGGUAAAUUCCAUCUAAAGCUAAAUAUUGGCGAGAGACCGAUAGCGAACAAGUACAGUGAUGGAAAGAUGAAAAGAACUUUGAAAAGAGAGUGAAAAAGUACGUGAAAUUGUUGAAAGGGAAGGGCAUUUGAUCAGACAUGGUGUUUUGUGCCCUCUGCUCCUUGUGGGUAGGGGAAUCUCGCAUUUCACUGGGCCAGCAUCAGUUUUGGUGGCAGGAUAAAUCCAUAGGAAUGUAGCUUGCCUCGGUAAGUAUUAUAGCCUGUGGGAAUACUGCCAGCUGGGACUGAGGACUGCGACGUAAGUCAAGGAUGCUGGCAUAAUGGUUAUAUGCCGCCCGUCUUG